UGGUUGUGUACUGGAGAAUUAGCUGUGUGCCAAUAGCGGCUGCUGUAAGGUGCUCCCGUGUUGCCACACUCCCUUUGCACAAAGCACAGAUUCAAAUGGCGUGUCAGCAGCGGUGAUAAAGCACAUGUCGGUGCCACGCCUUCCUGAUGCGGAGCUCCUCCUGAAUCCGACGCUCCGCUGCAGGGACGGCUCAAACCGGAAUGUAAAAAGACUGGUCUGCGUGAAAAGCAACACACCCUGCUCUCAGUACGCCUUAGAUGAAGAUGAAGACCAAAGAUGAAGGAGCACGUUGUCGAGUCAUGUGGGUUCCUGCGUAUCAAGGAAAUCGGAGGCCAUCACGCCAUCAGAUUGUGUAAUCACGCAGCACCUGUGUUUCUCGAGUGGACAGUGUGAACGAAAGUGAAUGAAAAACAAGAAGCAGAGAAGAGGAAACUGGAGGAGAGUGGAGGAAGAGAGAGGAGAAGAUAAAGGAGACGUAAACAGAACAUCAAACUGAAAUGCUGCACACCAGAAAAAAAGUUUCCCAAUCUUUUGUUUGUUUGUUUUUUUUUUGUCCCACAAUGAGUUUGUUCUUUAAUCCUGAUAUUAAUUGUGUAAUGCAGACUUGUGAAACGACUGUGUUUGUUCCUGCAGGGGAACGGCGCUGAUGAAAGGGGAAAUCUUUUCAGCCUUUUUAAAAAGGUUGCAGCAAUCAUUUCACUCCUCAGUUUCAUAACAGAAUUUGACAAAUGGCCUAGUAAUGUAAAGCAAGCCUUAUUACUUAUAUACUUAUUAUUAUAACCGUCAGCGAUGUGGAAAUUUGUCUCGAUACUUUUACAAAACUCUCCCUCUGCUUGUCAACAUCAAUCAAUUUGAGUCUACUUCAUAGUGGAAAUGAUGUCGUAUUAUCAAAACUCACACAAUUAACCAUCUAACCAUCAAAUACAGAUCAAAAUUAUUUCCCUUGUGCUGGAAAUCCACAUCAAACAUUUUCCUGAGUUUAAAGAUUGGCGCUGGAUCUUUGUUUGUUGUUGUUGUUUGUUCGUGUUGCCUUCACAGCCUUUACUUGUUGCCCUGUCCGUCCUCACUCGCUGAUUUUUCUGAGUUAAAAGUUUAUGAUUCCAGUGGUGUGUAUGUGUGUGAGUGUGCUCCAUCUUUUAACUUUAACUUUUUUAAAGUGUGACAGUGUGACAGCGCCGCAGGAGGUUUCGUUGUUGAUAAAUGAGGACACAGUAUUGAAGAAAAGCGUGCUGAUUUUCCAUCUUAUGUCACAUUACUUAUAGCACUCUGUGCCUGUUUUUAUGUUUUUACUCUG